rnacentral:rRNA from 1 species
UACGUAGGGGGCAAGCGUUGUCCGGAUUCAUUGGGCGUAAAGAGCGUGUAGGCGGCUUUACAGGUCCGUUGUGAAAACUCGAGGCUCAACCUCGAGACGCCGGUGGAAACCGUAAGGCUAGAGUCCGGAAGAGGAGAGUGGAAUUCCUGGUGUAGCGGUGAAAUGCGCAGAUAUCAGGAAGAACACCCGUGGCGAAGGUGGCUCUCUGGGACGGUACUGACGCUGAGACGCGAAAGCGUGGGGAGCGAACAGG